rnacentral:tRNA from 1 species
GUUGUUCCUAGGGGAAAUAUUUGUUUUGAAAGCAAGCUUUAAGUGUUCGACUCACUUCACAACUU